GUGCCUGCCCAGUGUCGAGAGAUAAAUGGCCGCAGUAUAUUGACUGUGCUAAGGUAGNAUAAAUAAUUGCCUCGUAAUUGGAGGAUUGUUUGAAAGGCUUGACUAGAUGAUGGUUUUAGAUGGGGGUUUGGUGAAAUUGAAUAAUUGGUGCAGAUUCCAAUAUUAUUUGUAAGACGGAAAGACCCCGAGAGCUUUACAAGUGUUUGUUUAUUUGGGGCAAAGGCUUAUAUUUUAUAAGUUUUUUGAUCCUUAAGGAUUAUAGGAGAAAGUUACCUCGGGGAUAACUAGGUGAGAAGCAAGGAGAGGUCUUAUCGAUUUGUUUGUUUGCCAUCUCGAUGUUGACUUGGGGUUAGCAGGAGGGUGCAGGAGUUCUUCUGUUUGGUCUGUUCGACCUUCGAACCCCUCAUGAGUUGAGUUAAGACCGGA
rnacentral:rRNA from 1 species